CAUAAAAUAACUACAGAGUACAUAUGUACGUAUGUACAUGUGUGUGUGUGUGUGUGUUGCCAUAUUCCCUUCCGUAUCGGCUAACUCUGAUGAGCAUAAAGUUAUAUAAUCGGAUUGCUACCUAACAUUCCAUUAUAUUCUUUAUGCGAAACCGAUUGAUAAGAUCAGUCGCGAUGGAUAUUUAGUACUAUACAUUUCGGAUUAUAGAACCACUCUACUGACAAAUAUACGAGUGCAUCUUUUCCCUGACUUAUGGUCUUUUAAACGACUCACUUA